rnacentral:rRNA from 1 species
UACGAAGGGGGCUAGCGUUACUCGGAUUGACUGGGCGUAAAGGGCGCGUAGGCGGUUUGUACAGUCAGACGUGAAAUUCCUGGGCUCAACCUGGGGGCUGCGUUUGAUACGUGCAGACUUGAGUUCGGAAGAGGGUCGUGGAAUUCCCAGUGUAGAGGUGAAAUUCGUAGAUAUUGGGAAGAACACCGGUGGCGAAGGCAGCUCUCUGGGACGGUACUGACGCUGAGACGCGAAAGCGUGGGGAGCGAACAGG